rnacentral:rRNA from 1 species
GAUGAACGCUGGCGGCGUGCCUAAUACAUGCAAGUCGAGCGAACAGACGAGGAGCUUGCUCCUUUGACGUUAGCGGCGGACGGGUGAGUAACACGUGGAUAACCUACCUAUAAGACUGGGAUGACUUCGGGAAACCGGAGCUAAUACCGGAUAACAUGUUGAACCGCAUGGUUCAACAGUGAAAGACGGUCUUGCUGUCACUUAUAGAUGGAUCCGCGCCGCAUUAGCUAGUUGGUAAGGUAACGGCUUACCAAGGCAACGAUGCGUAGCCGACCUGAGAGGGUGAUCGGCCACACUGGAACUGAGACACGGUCCAGACUCCUACGGGAGGCAGCAGUAGGGAAUCUUCCGCAAUGGGCGAAAGCCUGACGGAGCAACGCCGCGUGAGUGAAGAAGGUCUUCGGAUCGUAAAACUCUGUUAUUAGGGAAGAACAAAUGUGUAAGUAACUAUGCACGUCUUGACGGUACCUAAUCAGAAAGCCACGGCUAACUACGUG